ensembl:lncRNA
CUGGAAUAGAAAGCGUUGGACACACAUGGAUUCCGUGCACCCAGUUGGUCACCAAGGAUGGGUGCACACAAGAAAUGAAAUGCCUUCAAGUCCAGGCUCCUGUUGGAAGAAGAUGGGAACUCAUGCAGCCCCUGGCAUGGAGGAGGCUGUUCCUGCCCUGGCACCAGGAGCUUGCUGCCAUUGCAGCUCUGCUUUUGGAAGGGUGCUUAGCAGACUUGCUCCUGCUGCACGGAUGCACCGUUUGCUGUCUCUGCAUCUGCCCUGUGACUCUGCAUAGAAAUCUUUCCUUCGGGUACUUUCUCUGAUUCCAGAAAACUAAGUGAAGGCACAGGAGUGUUUUCUUGCAAGGAGCAAAAAGGCUGUGUACUCAAAUCAAACUUUCUCAAGCACAUCUGACAUCCCUUUGGAUUCCCACAGGGAACAGUCCCAGUGGGGCUGCUCUGCCACCUGGGCGAGGAGCCAAUGACCUGAGUGAUUCUGCAGCCUCGUAACCCAAAUGUUUUUCCACCAGUGAAGAGAGGAAGCAGGGGGCUGCUUCAAUUAAUGCUGUGCAGUGGGGAUAAGUGAUGCAUUUAAAGGAUUAACUCUUCCUUUUCCUUCGCCUAUCCUCUCUUUAGCAUGACAGCCAACAGAGAGUGUGAUAGAGCAAUCUCUAUCUUGUAUGUGACCACAAGAGAUUAAUUAAACAGUAAGCCCUAAUUACCGAGGCUAAGGCUGACCGACUUACCGUGCCUUGUAAAAUAGCUGAAUACUUAAUUUACGCUCCAGUGUGGACAUAACUUUCACCAUUAGCUGAAUAAACAACGAGCACCCAAGCUAAGCGGACCGCUUCCCUAAUAGAUGCACCAUUAUAAAUGGAGCUCUCCGUUGGUGUGGGCUCACUGGGGCUGCCUCCCAGCUACAAAGGGUUUUCGUGGGAAGGGGGAGCUGCUUUGCAGUGCGCCAACCUGCCCUAAGCCUGGGGGAUUCCCUCUCUGUCAGUACUCUUCAGCUUUCAGGCUGCUUAUCAAAGCCGUCAUCAUUUGCAUUUCACUGCAGGUUUGGGGGGAGAAAAAAAGGGAAGAUACCGAAAGGCAUAAAACAAAACCAAGCCCCAACUCCCAGUGCAAUGCGGUGGAAGUAGGGCACAUAGCUCCUUUUCUCUUUAUUUUUUUUCUCCCUUUCAAUAUCUGCCAUAAUAACAGUAAUAGAUUCUGAGAAGUGCAAGUUAAUCUGUAGCUCCAGAGCUUUUUAUUGUGUUUCUCCCUUUUUGUGCGUGUUAACCUUUCAAAUCUUAGAAGGCUGUGGAGUGUGCAUUGCUAUUUUAAUUCCUAUUAUUCUUGCUUGCUGCCUGCUUCUCAACUGGGUCCUAGAUAGAUCCCAGGUGAGCUUAAAGCUUCAGUGCACUGCAAAGGAGGAGAGAGCAUCUCAAUACCACACAGAGAGAACUGAAACAGGAAAAAAGUUAGAAGGCCUUAAAACCACAUUGAAUCCAGAAGACAAAGAAUGAGCUGAUGAAAGGAUUCGAAGACAUCUCCAGGAGCACCGUUGCAAGAGGAUGGGAUGUGUGAGUGUGAUUUGACAUGUGCGUGUUGUACUGGGAGUUUGAUAGCAGGCAUCUGUGUGGGGCAAGUACACAUUGCUGGUUUCACGUGGGAAGAAGCCUGGGAGCGAGCUGCCUUCAACUUGCAUUGACC